ACUCAGUGCAGGGAGAACCUCCCGGGUACACAUGAGGACAUCGCAGUUCCCAAAGCGCUGUCUGGCCCCCGAGAGGGAGAGGGAACAAAGAAUUUCUUCCAAGUGGUUCUUCCACAACCUGAUGGAUCUGGGGUGUCACCUAAUACCAAGCAAAGGGAGAUUCUUUCAGAUCUGUUGAGCAAGCUUCUAUGGACAAGUUGACCUCUGAGUGGACGUAAUGGAAGGUGCUUUUCAUCGAUGACUGAAAGCGUCCAGCAGAAAUUCAAGUAAACUAUAACCUCUUUCACAAUGAAAGUGAGGCAAGUCACUAUUUUCUAGCCAAAUUCAGCUAUAA